AUCCGCGGAGAUGUCAACAGACCUGCAAGUCCAAUGAAACCUAACAGCCCGACCUGAAAUGAUCAGAAGGACCCAGAAACAUUUUUCUUUUAAUUUUCCAUUUUCAUAAUAAUUUCUUAAGUCUCUGAUUCUAUUCUAUUCGAUUGCUCCAUCCAUGGCUUCCAAUGGAACAUCUCCGAGAGCGGAAACUGAGAACAGCUUGGAGAAAGUCAAGAGGCAGCUUACGUCGGGUUCAACGAGGAAUCUGUUGCAGGGGCCGCUCCUUAAGAGAUCUGAAACGGGAGAGAGAUUGAAGAGGAUGCUAUUUUUGUUGGCAAAGAGGUGCUUUAGGAGUGA